rnacentral:lncRNA from 10 species
AGAUCAGCCCUGGGGUUCAGAGGGAUCCUGACAGCUACUCCUCAAGAUCCUCUCUGUUGUGAUUCAUCCCCCCGGGGCCCUACAGUUUCUCCUUCCUGACUCUUACAUUUCUUUGGAUGGCAUCAUUAUUUUAGGUGCCAAGCACUGUGGAUUCUGCCUCUCAGUGUCCAGACACCCAUUUUCCUUCCCACUGUUCCUUCCCCAUGGAGAAGCCUGUGGCUGGCUGACAGCAGAGAGAGAUGCUCAACUUGGAGAAGGUGUUACCUGGGCCAGGUGGGGAAGGUUUGUUUGCAGAGCAAAGAAGUGAAGAUCCUCAUGUGACAGGUGACCUGCCAUAUAAUCAGAAGGAAGAAAUGUUACACAGAGAGGCUGAGAAGAAUCUGAGGACUUGCUAAGUUUUCCCCAGUUUAUUACCAUUAGAUCAUAUGCCUUUUUUGUUCAAUCAUACUUCUAUACAACUGUCCAUCAUUCAUUAAACCUAACCACAAAAGUAGUUUUCACUCGGUUUUUGAGUGAAGGCUCCUGUGUCAC